GCUUGCCUCUUGCCCAGAACCUAGAGCAUGCGUGCGCAUUAGAAACUGUUAAGAAACCGCUGGGGAAGGAGCUGCGGAGGCGUGGAGGAGAUCUGUGGAGUUUAACAUGAAACCACAAGGUUCUCAUUAGGAAUGAAAAUAAUUCCCUCAUUCCAGAAUAGGAGACAACCGUGAACCUACCAACUUUACUUGGUCAAAACUGACAUUGUUAUUUUUUUGUGACGUAUUUUUUCAAUAUGAUUGGAAAAAUGAAUCAAUUUUUCUGGUUCUAGGUAAUGCCUAAAUAGCCCUAUAUAAAGCAUGAAAUUUAUUUAUUGUAAGUACUAGUGACAAAGAAAAUUAGUUUUCUAGUACAAAAAUCUUCAGCUUUUUAAACAUU